GGAGCGGGUCGGACGGUCGCCGGGGCAGCGAUGCCCGGGAGGAAGGUCCGGACUCCAGAGGGCAGGGUGCUGGCUAACGGCCAGGCGCAGCGAGCGUGUCCGAAAGGCGCGCCCAAGGCGACGGACAGUGGCACAGAGAACAGACCGCCGAUGUGGCCGCGCAAGCGGUCGCAGGCAAGGGUGAAACGGUGGGGUAAGAGCCCACCGCGUCCCUGGCGACAGGGGCGGCACGCCAAACCCCACCCGGAGCAACACCAAAUAGGCACGCGCUCGGUGCAGACCGUGGAGGACGCCCCUCCGAGCGUGCGGGUUGGUGGCUCGAGCCCCCGGGUAACCGGGGGCCUAGACGAAUGACCGUCCGCCGGGAGACCGGCGUACAGAAUCCGGCCUACAGACCCGCUCCACUC
rnacentral:RNase_P_RNA from 1 species